rnacentral:rRNA from 1 species
UACGUAGGUGGCAAGCGUUGUCCGGAAUCAUUGGGCGUAAAGGGCGUGUAGGCGGUUUGUUAAGUCAUGUGUGAAAUCCCUCGGCUCAACCGGGGAACGACGCAUGAAACUGGCAAGCUAGAGUACCGAAGAGGGGGGUGGAAUUCCCGGUGUAGCGGUGGAAUGCGCAGAUAUCAGGAGGAACACCGGUGGCGAAGGCGGUUCUCUGGGCAUUACCUGACGCUGAGGAGCGAAAGUGUGGGGAGCGAACAGG